CACGUAGGGUGCGAGCGUUGUCCGGAAUUAUUGGGCGUAAAGAGCUCGUAGGCGGUGUGUCGCGUCGGCCGUGAAAACCUGUGGCUUAACUAUGGGCUUGCGGUCGAUACGGGCAUCACUGGAGUUCGGCAGGGGAGACUGGAAUUCCUGGUGUAGCGGUGAAAUGCGCAGAUAUCAGGAGGAACACCGGUGGCGAAGGCGGGUCUCUGGGCCGAUACUGACGCUGAGGAGCGAAAGCUAGGGGAGCAAACGGG
rnacentral:rRNA from 1 species